rnacentral:rRNA from 1 species
AUGGCGCCGCCGGCCUUGCUUCCUAGGGCGAGCGCGUUGCGGCCUCUUGCCCCAGCCUCUUCUUCUCCCCUCCGCGCGCACGUCGUCGCGGCCACCCCAACGCCCCGCACGCCGCCACGCACAGCGCGUCCCGUGUCGCUGCUCUGCACCCCGCUCAGCAACGUGGACGCCGCCGCCGCCGCCGGCGGCAGUGGCCCCGACAAGGAACCUUACCGGUGGCCGUGGGGAUACGAGGACCCUCCCGCGUACGUGGAGGAGGACAUCGUGGAAACCCAACUCAGGUUCGUGCGCGAGUCCGGGGAGGCGGUGGCUGCGCUCAAGGCCGCGGCCGCCGACGCGUGCCGUGCGCUCGUCGACAACUUCGGCGACAUCCGCACUCUCAAGACCAUCUACGACGUCGAGGACUACCACAUCGGCAUGCCAUUCGGUGUGCUUAUUGCAUGCAUUGGUUGCUAUCAACUGUGGAAGCUAGAUCCCUCGACAUUCCUAGAUGUUGUAUUGGGCUACGCAUUCUACAGGCUCAGUGUCAUGGGUUCACACAUCCGGAGACAGGGGUCCUCGAAUGAUUUGUUCGGACGCCUCAAGUUUGUUAUUGUCGUAAUCAUGGCUGUGAAAGAUUUCAGGAAAAAUCUCGCUCCCAUUGAUUUUAUCAGGACACCAGUUUAUGCCCUCUAUUCCAUAUCGUUCGUUCAUGACAUAAUUGGCCUGAAGAAGUAUGGAAAAUAUUAUUUCGCUGUGACCAUCGAACUACUAAAAACUAAGGAGGGCAGGUGCAAGCUAGCGAGUUUUUUCUAA